UGAGAUGGACAGAUGGUUGCUGCACGUGUGCAGAGGAAAGUCCGGGCUCCACCAGAAAAAAGUGCCAGGUAACAUCUGGCGAGGGCAACCUCAGGGAAAGUGCCACAGAAAAUAACCGCCUUAGGGUAAGGGUGAAAAGGUGUGGUAAGAGCGCACCGCAAACUUGGCAACAAGUUUGGCAAGGUAAACCCCACUUGGAGCAAGACCAAAUAGAGAAAACACAUAACAUUUCUGGAGUUUGUUUUCUGGGUUGGUCGCAUGAGAAAAGCAGUGAUGUUUUUCCUAGAUGAAUAACCAUCCUAUGAUAUAAUAUUCAUAGACAGAACUCGGCUUAUCGUUCAUCUCACUUU
rnacentral:RNase_P_RNA from 1 species